GCACAAGCGGUGGAGCAUGUGGUUUAAUUCGAUGCAACGCGAAGACCUUACCUGGGCUUGACAUCCCGGGAAUCCCUUGGAAACAAGGGAGUGCCCUUCGGGGAACCUGGAGACAGGUGCUGCAUGGCUGUCGUCAGCUCGUGUCGUGAGAUGUAGGGUUAAGUCCCGCAACGAGCGCAACCCUUGUCUUUAAUUGCCAUCAUUGAGUUGGGCACUUUAAAGAGACUGCCGGUGUUAAACCGGAGGAAGGUGGGGAUGACGUCAAGUCCUCAUGGCCCUUAUGGGUAGGGCUUCACACGUAAUACAAUGGUCGGUACAGAGGGUUGCCAACCCGCGAGGGGGAGCCAAUCCCAGAAAACCGAUCGUAGUCCGGAUUGCAGUCUGCAACUCGACUGCAUGAAGUCGGAAUCGCUAGUAAUCGCGGAUCAGCAUGUCGCGGUGAAUACGUUCCCGGGCCUU
rnacentral:rRNA from 1 species